rnacentral:rRNA from 1 species
UACGAAGGGGGCUAGCGUUGCUCGGAAUCACUGGGCGUAAAGCGCACGUAGGCGGAUUGUUAAGUCAGGGGUGAAAUCCUGGAGCUCAACUCCAGAACUGCCUUUGAUACUGGCGAUCUCGAGUCCGGGAGAGGUGAGUGGAACUGCGAGUGUAGAGGUGAAAUUCGUAGAUAUUCGCAAGAACACCAGUGGCGAAGGCAGCGUCCUGGCGAGCAACUGACGCUCAUGUGCGAAAGCUAGGGGAGCGAACGGG